rnacentral:rRNA from 1 species
GAUGAACGCUGGCGGCGUGCCUAAUACAUGCAAGUCGAGCGAACAGAUGAGGAGCUUGCUCCUCUGACGUUAGCGGCGGACGGGUGAGUAACACGUGGAUAACCUACCUAUAAGACUGGGAUAACUUCGGGAAACCGGAGCUAAUACCGGAUAAUAUAUUGAACCGCAUGGUUCAAUAGUGAAAGACGGUUUUGCUGUCACUUAUAGAUGGAUCCGCGCCGCAUUAGCUAGUUGGUAAGGUAACGGCUUACCAAGGCAACGAUGCGUAGCCGACCUGAGAGGGUGAACGGCCACACUGGGACUUGAGCACGGGCCAAGCUCCUUCGGGGGGCCACAGUAAGGAAUCUUCCGCAAUUGGCCGAAACCUUGCCGAACCACGCCGCGGUGAUUGAUAAAGUCUUCCGAUCGGUAAACUCUUGUUAUUGGGAAAGACAAAUUUUGUAAGUACUAUUCACGUCUUGACGGUACCUAAACAAAAAAGCACCGCUAACUUCCUU